UACGAAGGGGGCUAGCGUUGCUCGGAAUCACUGGGCGUAAAGCGCACGUAGGCGGAUUGUUAAGUCAGGGGUGAAAUCCUGGAGCUCAACUCCAGAACUGCCUUUGAUACUGAAGAUCUUGAGUCCGGGAGAGGUGAGUGGAACUGCGAGUGUAGAGGUGAAAUUCGUAGAUAUUCGCAAGAACACCAGUGGCGAAGGCGGCUCACUGGCCCGGUACUGACGCUGAGGUGCGAAAGCGUGGGGAGCAAACAGG
rnacentral:rRNA from 1 species